rnacentral:lncRNA from 1 species
CUGGCUCAGAGAGGCUGAGUAACCUGCUCAAGAUGACACAGCUUGUGGGUGGCUGAGUUGGCCUUCCAACCCAGAUUCCUGUCAUGUUCCUCAAGCCAACAGAGGGAACAUUUUCCAGAGUAUAGCCGAGGGACAGAAUGUCUCAGUAAGACGGGCUCGGAGGGAAAGGGUUUUGGAAAGGCCUCUGCUUGCUCUGGGAGGCGUUCAGGAUACUGAGGUUUUGGAAAUCCAUGGCGGCUCUUCACAACUGCUGCCAGCUUUGGGAGGAGGAAUAGACGGGUGCUCGUUUCCUCGGGUUCAGUGGCAAAGGUGAAGACCAGCACUGCCGACCUGGGACCUGGGCCUCUCCUGGGCCUGGGGAGGACACUGGACUUUGAAGGGGAAUGCAGCCUAGAAGGCCUGGACCCUGGAGUCAUGAGAUGCUGCUCCCAUCCAGUAAGCCCUGGCUGGAGCUCUUCUGGGCACCAACCCUGGCAUAAAACCAGUGGGGCCUCUGGGCCUGCACUCAACAGUGCCUCUGAUGGAGCAUGAAAGGCCCGGGCUUGGGAGCGCGGCCGCCGGCUCCGCGCCGCCGCACAAAGGGCCGCGAAUUAGAGAAGCGGCAAUUACCCCGCAUUUACUGUGGACGGCCCCUCCCCGGGCGGCUGCACUUUGAGGAUUUUCAGGCCCUUUCUUGGUUACCAGGGGCGACUGGGCAGAGGGCUGGGGGCUUGGGGAGAGGGGGAAGUGCCAAGGGCCGAGUGGGAUCGUGUGCAGUGGAGGGCGUCCCGGGGUGGGGGGCAGGGAGCGGCGUGUGGGUAUCGCCCCUGGGGACCUCGGCCUCAAGUCUAAUGCUCUCUCCAAAGCCGGAGCCCUUUCAGCAUGCAGAUUCCAGGGCCUCACCACAGAGGACUCCCUGACUCGGGGAUUCUGGGGCGCCCAGAAAACUGCAUUUUACCAGUCCAAAUAUUUUUAAUAAUAUAUAAUAAAAUAUAAGAUAUAGCGGGGAAAUGAAAUACACAGAUUUUAAGUGUGCAAUUCCGUGUCACCCACAUCUCAUCAAGAUAUAGAACAAUUCCAUCACUCCAGAAAGUACCAUGGGUCCUCUUUCCAGUUUCUCCACCCCACUGCUCAUCCUCCCAGUUCAGCUUGGUUGUGACCUCUGCUAGAAGCCCUCCCUGGCCUCCCUGUGCACUGAGCUGGCGGUUCCUCCUUUGCACCCCAGGUACAUGCUCAGAUCUGUGUACCCUCCACUUUGUCCUCCAGCUUUGUGUUUGGAUGUCCACAACUCCCAUGAAAAGGGCCCCCGAGAGCUGGCACAGUGCAUGUUUCCUCUCCAGACUUCUACGAACCUGGCACAUAAUUGUUUGCUGAAAGAUGGCAUGUUCCUAAAACAGAGGAAGUAGAACCUGAAUGAAGCGAAAUCCAACUUCCCACUCCCUGCUCUCACUUCCUCUGGGACAGGCCUUGAGCAAGAGAGACAAAAAGAACAAGAGAUGAUCUUUCCCUUUAAUGGGAUUUCAGUCUGAUCAGGGAGAUAGUAACAGAAAGACUAGACUAGACUAGUGUAUGAUUAAAUGACAUUUGCCAUCCCCAGAAGAGGGAGAGACCUGCAUGGAACAGGGUGGUCAAGGCAGGCUUCCUGGAGGAGGCAAAGACUUAGAUUUAACAGUACCAGAGCUCCAGGAUAGAUCCUCCUCUGACUGAACUCCGUAUUUCUUUCUCCCACCCCAACCUUCCCGGGUCCCCAGCUGAAGGGGUACGUGUGUGUGUGUGUGUGUACAUGUGCCUGCACACAUGUACACGUGUGGUUAGAAAGGGGGUAUUAGUAUCUCUCUCCUAGGAUGGAGUCUCAAGGACAGGCCCAUCAUCUCCUCAGUUUGCCCCUCUCUUUCCCACUUCACCUGGGGAAUGGAAUAAGAAUGGGAUAAGUAUAAUACAAUGAGGCGAAUGCAGAACCAACUAGAUGUACACCCAACAAUGUGGAUGAACCUUAAAACAGUGCUGCCUGAAGAAGGCAAGAAACAGAAUGAAAUCUGCAGCACAUCAUUCAUAUAAACUAAAAAUACAUGCACAGAGAAAGGCCACUUUUUUUUUUUGGAGACAAAGUUUCGCUCUUGUCACUCAGGCUGGAGUGCAAUGGCACGAUCUUGGCUCACUGCAAUGUCCACCUCUAGGGUUCAAGCGAUUGUCCUGCCUCAGCUUCUAGAGUAGCUGGGAUUAUAGGAGCCCACCACCAUGGCCAGCUAGUUUUCGUAUUUUUAGUAGAGACGGGGUUUCACCAUGUUGCCCAGGCUGGUCUCGAACUCCUGACCUCAGGUGAUCCACGUGCCUCGGCCUCCGAGAGUGCUGGGAUUACAGGCGUGAGCCACCACACCCAGUCGGCAACGUAUGUUUUAUAGAGACACAGACAAAGAUGUGAUGUCAAACACACUAAUGUGGUUGCCUCAUUUAUGGAUGGGGGACUGGGCUGGUGAAUGAGGAUUAAAGGAAUAAAUAAAUAAAACAAGAGAGGGCCUCUGUAUAGAAUGGUGAUGACAGCAUGCAGUCGAGGAGAAUGAUGAACUCAAACUUUUGCACCUGAGGGCCAAACAAAAGCUCAAAAUGAUGCCACUGACUUUAGGAAGGCACUCAUAUCUGUGUGAGUGGGAGAGAGAAGGGUUUGGGGCAGGGAUUUGACUGUAGCUGUAAUGUUUUAUCCCUUUAAAAAAGAUAAGAUAAUCUGAAGCAAAAUGUUAAUAUCUGUUGAAUCUGGGGAGAGGCUAUGAGGGUUUCUGUUAAACCAUUUUGUGUACAUUUUA